UUGCAGAUGUUGCUGGACUCCAGCUCCCAUUAGCCCCUGCCAGCAUGCCCAAUGGUCAGGGAAGAUGGGAGUUGGGAGUUGGAGUCCCAGCAACAUUUGCAG